CUGUCCCUAGUUCUCUGCUCUCCCUCUCGCGGUCUCGCUCUCGCCUCUCCCCACACGUCCGCCGCCAGCCCGCCAACCAACUGCCGGCGGCCAGGCGCCGUCUCCUCCAGCCCGAGCCGCCUGCUCCCCUUCCCCAAGCCCCCAUCCGCUCCCCCUAACGACGUCCUCGCGUGUGGCUUCGAGCUGGGCUGCACCCAUCAGGGUGAGAAUGAAAUAUACUCCCUCCGUCCACAAAUAAGUGUACGUUUAGCUUCAAAAUUUGUCCACAAAAGAGUGUACUUCCUUCUACUGCACCUCAAGCACCUCCGGUUCAGGUCUUUUAUGAUUGUGACCAAUUUCCUGGCCCGUUGGAAGGCCAAAGCUGCCCAAGUGAUUGAUCUCCCCCCCUGAAAAGGAACAAGUUCGGAUAAUGAUGAAUAACAUGAACAGAGGUUAGUUAAGCUAGUUGAAUGGGAAAGAGAAGUCUGAAUUCAGAAAAACACAUGCAUGGAACAACGGCGAAAAAGAAGAGAUCAGGGCUUCAGCUGAGCAAUAUGCCAACGGAUAUUCUCUGCAGUAUCAUGUCAAAAUUACCGCUAAAAGAAGCCGUACGGACGAGCAUACUAUCCCAGCAGUGGAAAUAUCAUUGGUGUUGCCACUCAAAUCUAGAAUUUAGUUUUACAUCAAUGUUGUCAAGUCAUCAUCUUGGUGGACCUAUCACAGCUGAUAGUCGUAAUCUAAUGAAACAAGAGUUCAUUGAGAGAGUUGAUGCAGUGCUAAAGCAACACAGUGGCCUAGGGGUCGAGAACUUCAGAGUCUGGUUUCCAUUUAACAAUGGAAAUACAGAUCCGAUAGAAAGAUGGGUGAACUUUGCUGUAGCAUCAAAGACGAAGCACCUCACUCUCAAUUUCUCAUCUGCACGCUGCAUAGGAAAGCCAUGUAUCUUUGAUUUGCGGCUUCUGGAUGGCAGUGUUAGUUCACACUUGCAAUAUGUAGAACUUAGUUCAGUUUUUCUUCAGCUUCCUGUGGGUUUCAAGGGUUUUCAGAACCUUAGAAGGCUUCACUUAGCAGACAUGACUAUUACCGAUGAGGACUUCACCUUUUGAUGUCCAAUUGCAAUGUUCUGGAAUUCCUUCGAAUUACUGACUGUAGUAUGCUUACAAGAAUACAUAUAUCUCAUCCUUCAAACGCACUUAAGCAUUUGCAAGUGCAUAAAUGCCGCUCGCUUCAAGUGAUGGAGUUAAACUUUGGUCUGAUAACACUUGAGUACAGUGGUCCAUUGAUACCGUUAUCACCUCCUGGAACUUUGCUUCUAACAAAGAUAUCCAUGAAGCCGUGGGAUUCUUGCACUGCUCUUGAGUAUAUCUUCACAGAACUUCCUAGUACUGUGCCUCGCCUUGAGAUGCUGACUCUGAAAUGUCACGAGGUUGAGAGGGCUACAUUGCCAGAAAAGCUUCCCAAAUUUGUUUAUCUGAGGCACCUCAGGCUGGAGUUGUCUUCUGGGCCUUUGGAGAAGAAGGUUGAUGCCCUUGACUUUGCCUGCCUUCUGGUUGCUGCUCCUUUCUUGGAAAAGCUGGAAUUUCACAUGUGGCGGAUGGUUUCUGUGAAUCAAAGUUAUGGUUACGGUCAACAACUAAGGAGUAUUCCUUCACAACCUCAUUGCCAUCUCAGGUUUGUUGAUAUUACCGGAUUUUAUGGUCAGAAAGAUCAAUUGGAGUUGGCACUUCAUAUUCUCAGAAAUGCUGCCAUGCUUGAGGCAAUGAAAAUAGAUCCAAAGCCUUCAAUAGCUGCUGAGUAUGGACAAAUGCAGGGUCCUUUUUUCUUGGAUGGCUACCAAGUUGCCCGUGAUUAUGUGCUUAGAGAAGACAAGUGUAAUGUUCUUUAUAUUAAACAUGUUCCACGUAAGACCAUUGAGGCUAAAUUCCUAUCUGGUUCAUUAUGGAGCAAGUUAGUUUCAGAGCAAAAGGCUAAGUGGGCCUCUAAUUGAAAUGAAAGAACAAAAACGGUUCAAUCUCGCUUUGCACUUUUAGAUUGAGAACACUGAGUUACGGAGUAUUUGUGUGAGUGUGUUUUGUAAUUCUCAUGAAACAGCUCUUUAGUUUAUUAUUAUUUGAUGAAAAAGAGACGUUCCUUUUGUUCA